GAUAGCUUUAUAUUAUAUAUAUAAUGAAAUCCCAUAUAGAAAUUAAACAAAAACAGAUACCCAAGUAUCAGCUGGAAUGGAUCUCAAAAAUAUCAUAGUGAGAUUAUAAAGCAUGUGUUGAAAUAAUACAGAGAAAACAAUAACAUCUUAUUUAAAUUUGAAGAUACAAACACUACCAUAUGCUGUAUAAAAUAUUCUAUACACAGACCUGUACUUAAAAAUAGAGAAAUAUACAAGGGGAUGCUAAACAAUUUUAGCCUGUAGUUAUCCCUUGUAGAAUUUCUUAUAAUCUUGUUUCUGGUUAUGUUGCUGUAUCAAUUAUUUUUCAGUUUUGGGCAUGUGUGAAAUAUUUCAUAAAAGGAAGUUGGACGUUUUAAUAAUACAUUGACUUUAAGAGGAGGAAGAAUAGGUGAUGGGGGUAUUUUGUUAUAUACCAACACAUGACUGAAAUAAUCAUCUAUUCUAAUUCUGUUCAGUUCAGUGGAAAGUCUGAAGGUUUUUUAAGAGUUGCAGUUUGUCAUAUCUUUGAGAACAUUGUGUUAGAUUAAGUGGAACAGGAAUGCUUAGAGGGAAGGAGAUUAAAAUAAUGUGUUGUAUGGAUAUUUGAGGUGACAUACAACAGAACUGGAAAAUAAAGAAACUUCAUGAAAAAUAAUAUAAAAAGAAACAUCAAUGACUUACCAAUUGACUCUGCUGUGUUUGACAGAUGGGAAUUGUAGUCGUAACAUUGGAUGAAAUAGGAAAGACAGAGUAGUAGAGCUCUUUGGAGGCAAGUUCUUUUUACAUUUUGAGUUGAAGUUUUCACUUUUAAAUGAAAUGCAUAUGGAUAAAAAUAAAGCUAAUCAGCAAUACAACUGGGAUUUGAUAUCAGAUUCAUGCGAUUCCGAAGACCCUGACCACCAAAUGCAAAAGAGUGGGGUGCUGGUGAAAACAUAUCCAAAAAUGUGGAAGCGACGUUGGAACUGGGUAACAGGCAGAGGUUGGAACAGUUUGGAGGACUCAGAAGAAGACAGGAAAAUGUGGCCAAGUUUGGAACUUCCUAGAGACUUGCUGAAUGGCUUUGAACAAAAUGCUGACAGUGAUAUGGACGAUGAAAUCCAGGCUAGGUGGUCUCAGCUGGUGAUAAGGAACUUGUUGGGAACCGGAGUAAAGGUGAGUCUUGCAAACACACUGGUGGCAUUUUGCCCGGCCCUAUAGAUUUGUAGAACUUUGAACUUGAGAGACAUGAUUUAGGGUAU
rnacentral:lncRNA from 1 species